rnacentral:siRNA from 1 species
UGAUAUUUGUUCAGCGGUCGAG